AAGUCGUAACAAGGUUUCCGUAGGUGAACCUGCGGAAGGAUCAUUAACAAAUGUGAUACCUUUGUAUGUGAACCAUUGACCAGUCGGUCGCUGUUGACGCAGUCGCACUUGUGCGCUGUUGAAGCAGUGACGCUCUACGGCUGGUCUGUCCACUGGUGGCAGCCGUUCCACCCUCGGGUGCGAAUGAGCCAUCAGCUUUUUACAAACCAUGUUUUCUUUGUUGAACUGACAUGUACCUAUUUGUUGAAAAACAAAAGACAACUUUUAGCAACGGAUCUCUAGGCUCUU
rnacentral:misc_RNA from 1 species